UGAAUAUCAAAUUCAGGAUAAAACACCACUGAUUCUCGGUCAUUCUCAGUAGGGGAAGGAGCUUCUAUUCUUGACCCAGCCCACGACACGUGCCGGGGCUGUCAGCGCCGUGAGAGGCACCUGUGUCUCCCCGAGCUGAGGACGGAUGACAUUUGUACCUACAGGGGUAAAAAAAGAUAAAGCAAACACGGAACAGCACACUCCUCCCGGCCUUCCUUCUUCUGACACCGUUUUCCUUUAGAAGAUCUGAAACUACAAGUCAGGACAUGACACGUGGAGCGUCCCAGGCACGCGCAGCCUCUGCUGUUUGAUUUCCGACGUGAGUCUAUAGGUGAGGCUGACAGGUUUCAGAUGGAAGAGGCAGGGCAGACGCCUUUCAAGAGAGGCGCGUUGUCUGGGUAAAUCCAUCAAGGGUGCGUCCUGGGAGACGACGGGCCGCCUUUGUAGACAACGCCACGGCACGGGGGCCCCCCACGCUGGGCGCCCACCCCGGCUGGCUGACAGGCGGCCCCCGUUUCACCGUGAUCACGAGUAAAAGCCAGU
rnacentral:lncRNA from 1 species